rnacentral:lncRNA from 1 species
AUGUUUACAGGGCACGGCGGGGCGUUUGUUCCAGAACGCCGCCUCCCGCCCGGAACGCAGUAUAUAGAGAUAUGCAUUUUAUUUUACUUGUGUAAAAACAUUGGACGAUGUGGAAUAAAGAGCUCUUUUCGUAAGCUGUGGGCUCUCAGGCUGGGGGUUGCUGUGAGCCAGGGGAGGGGGGUGAGCUGGGAAGUGCCGCCCCACCCCCUUCAUGGCACCCGGAGGCCCAGGAAGGUGGAGGGCCUGCUGCGGGUGCUGCGGCCUGGGUGGGCAGCAAGACCCCUUUCAGCCCAGCACUUGUGCCAGCAGGGACCUGGAACACUCUGGCCGCCGCCCCUCCCAGCCCUGCUGGCCUUAAGGCCGACCCCCGUGUGCCUUGGCCCCCUCCCUCCUGACUGCCCUGACAGCAGUGUCUACAGCGCAGACCAUGCCCAGCAAGACAAGCCUGCCUUUGUGGGGCCAUCUGCUCUGCAGUUGCAUGGAGUCCCUAGCGGUCCCAGCCUCCCAGCACCACUUUGGCUGCCCCCACUAGCUCCCGUGUGGGUUGGGGGGUCCCAGAGGAUCCUGCAGGUAGGCUCGGGUGGCCCUGAUGGAGCCCUGGGCAGUGAGAGGCCCUGCAGGGACUGUGUGCCACCCUCAACCCUGGGCCUGGUGGCUGACAGCAGAGCCGGAGCCGGGCCUGCGCUCCACACGCCCACACCAUUCUGCACACACGUGCAUGCACAGGCCGGGCAGGGACCACACGUGUGCACACAUAUGCACGCGCACGUGUGCUCACAUGCAGCACGGGCAAAAAUAUCAACACACACGUUUUCCCAAAACCUGGGCGUAAGGACUCGAACUAGAGAAGCCAUGUGGGCCCCCCACCCUCCCCUGGGGGCAGGGCCUGGGGAGCUGAGGAGGGAGGAACACACAUUCCGCUGGGGUAGGGGGGUGGGGGGUGCGAGCGUUGCCGUGGAGCCAGCUGGCUGGCCGUGGGCGCGGCUGGGGCUCCAGAGCGCAGGGGAGGGGCAGCGGACCUGGUGUGCUCAGCCCCCGCUCCCCAACCUAGCCCCUCCGCGCCCCUGGUGGGGGCUCAGACCCCCACCCCUGCCCCGGCCCAGAGCAGAAUCGGACUGCUGUGGGGAGGGGGUCUCUCUGUCUCUCAGGUCCGGCCCCUUCCCCUCCACGGCUGGGUCUUCCCACCACCUUCCUGGUGGCCAGGAAACUGCAGACGCCCAUUUGCACAGAGCCUGGAGGCACACCUGA